ACGAAUUCCGCGGCGUACUUGGGGGAAACCUCACCAGGCCCGAACACCGAAACAGCCCCCACGAGCUCAU
rnacentral:rRNA from 1 species